GCGACGUCACAUGCCCUCGAGCGAGAACGACUCGCACGAGAUCCCUUGGUCGCCGCCCUCGCACUCGCAUCCUUCGCCGCCGCCCUCGCACAUCAAGCCGCCGUCGAUCCCUGCGCUACUACGGGAGCCGCCGCCGAUCCCAUUGAGGAGCCGCCGCCGAUGACGGGAGACGCCGCCUAUCCCGUUGAGGAGCCGCCGCCGAUGACGGGAGACGCCGCACGCUGACCUACCCCCUCCCCAAUCCCUAGCAUCGCACCUCUUCCCGUCUGGCGCCUCCUACCUCGGCAGGGCGGUGGCCUCGAGUGCCUCUUCUUCCCCAAUGCGGCCUCAACCAACGACGCUGCACCCCGGUGAUGACUCCGCCCCACGAUUCCCAUCGGUCGGCGCCUCGCCAGCAGUGACCUCCCCCUCCAUGUAUCCUGUGAUCCGGUCGUGCGCCACCGCCUCUCCAGGCGCUUAGAUCCAGGCUUCCAGAAGGGGAUAGGGGUGGAGGCGGCAGCGGAGGGGACAGGGAUGUGGACCGGAGAAACUACAUGGUGGAGGCACAACAAAGCGUUCAAGCACGGCACCCCAUCGCAUGCAGCUGCAGCCAGCGGCAGGUGUUGGGCACUUUGAGGUAUGCAAACCUUCUCAGAGCAAGGGGAGCAAGAGUACCGGUACUGCAUUUCUUAUCUUCAUCACUCAAAAUUCCCAGAACUAAUCGUGAGCUCUUGCUUUGAUACAGAACUAAUCUUGAAGGUGAUAGCCCUGUUUCUUCCCUGUUUUAGAUCAACCGUUCUUCUUUCUUCCUUGGAGCUCCACUGUUUUGGAUGAACUGGACUAACCCUAGAAGGGAUGAAGGUCAUCCACGAGGUGUCUCAAGGUGAACCCCGUGGUACCCGACCAAGUGGCUGGAGGGAAUGGUGUAUGCUCACAAGUUUGUACAGACCAAUUUGUUUCACUCGGACAAGAAUCCCACGAACCUUAAUGUGGCCUUUAAGUUUCAGGUCCUUGGGGUUGGAUGCGGCAACUCGCGGCUUGAAGACAAUCUUUUGUGGUGGGGCGUCGCCGCCGCCGGCGGCUCCUGCAUAGACCGUAUCGCUGGGAACGAAGAGAUGCUCCCCUGAUUUGGAGCUGUAGAAAGGAAGUGGUUGCAGACACAAAGUGGGGACACACAACUCCCAGUCAUAAUAUUCUUUAUCUUGGCUCGUUGUUUGGGGAUGGACGCAUCAAUCUGAUGGCGCUCUCCUCCAUGCCAAACGGAUCCUUGGUUCGGAGGCGCGCGGCGCCGACGAUGACAACCUUUCUAUCGACGCAAGGGCAGCAGGAGCUCAUGACGCUGUUGAUGCCACCACCAUGCAUGGGGUUGAUGCAAGUGCGAUCACUAAUGGGGAGAACAUAAAACUUCAAUUGAGGGCACUGUGAUUCUCUAGCUACAUGUAUCAUGUCCAAAAGAGAUCCUUAUUUCACCUUUGUUUAUAGGUAUUCAACGUGAGGAAUUUUAUACUUUUGGAGUGGAGCUAUCAAAUAUAUAUUAUGAGUUUCUAAAACAUCUAUUAUAAGGAGUUGAACAGAGCUUCCUCUGCCCCGGCAGAUUCAGAGAAAACCAACCAGCAGAGAACAUGAACAAAUAUAGUGACGAGAAAGGGUGGAGCUGAGUACACCACACAUGGAUAUGAUGGUCUCCCCUAUGUUCUUUUUGGCAAUCCACUUAAUCACUGACUCAACUUUGUAUGGGGCGCUUCCGAUGCACAAAUGGUGGCGGUGAAGCAGCAGGCCCGAGAGAGCGUGCAGGGGAGGAAGGAGUUCCUGGUGGAGGUGCUGAUACUGGCGGUGCUCAGCCACCCUAACUUCGUCAGCCUGAUCGGCUUCUGCGCGCAGGGGACAAGCGGCUGCUGUUGUACGAGUACAUGCCCUUCGGCAGCCUGGAGAGUCAUCUCUUUGGAAACACGUUAAUUAUGUAAGAGACGAUAGGAGUAAUGACAUCAUAGCUCGGGCGUCUUGGGAGGAAAGUGGCGUCGGUGGUGCUGAGCCAGAACAAGUUCACUGGCUCUCCUUCUACCUGCUGGAGCAUAUGGACGUGUCACGGAAGCCCUUCGUCGGGCCGUUCCUGUUGGCGCUACUGUCUGUCCAGUACCUGAGCAUAGCCGGCAACAGGUUCACCCAGGCGCUAUCCGACAAGGGGUCCUGCUGGGACAACCUCCGGCUUGUCGACCUGAUGGGGAGCAUCCCCCCCACUAUCACCAUCCUAUCCAACCAGCCGCCAAGCAUCUACUACUGCUCCCACUGGAUAUGUAACCCAUCUGACUCCCUUCGCUUCCUGUUCUUCCCUUGAUAUUAUCAAUUUGUGUGCAAAUGCUCUUUUUCAGUAACUUAGUUACGGACUCUGAUUUUAUUCUUGUUUCAUGUAGGCACUUAUAUAUGAAUAGCGUGCAUACAUCUGCACAACUGCAUAACAGUCACAAAUGAUUGUUUUGUGAAUCUGCAGAGAAUCUAAUUAUCCAUGUACGGCAAUAGCCAGAUUAAUUUGUUUACCCAAAAUUAUCAAGGUGAAUUCCUUGUUCUUGUUUUCUCAAGUCGAUGAUGCAUGCCAAAUAUCCUACCACUUUACAUUCGCUCUCUUUAAAUCAUUCAUCUAUUUGAUCAGGAAGCAUCUUGCUAUGAUCAAUAAAGACGGAAAAACAGUGCACACAAUAGACGAGUGGCGGAGUACAAUGAGCUUCUUUUAUAGUCAUGGAUUAUUCAUGUGUUAAACAAGUUCUGCUCAUCGAUUAGUUAUUAUCAAACCUGUGGAUUAUGUUUUUACUAUAAUUUAUGAUUUAAUUUGUACCUUGCAAACUCGGCAAGUAAAAAUAUCACUUAUUUAAGAGCCGAGAGAGUGUUGUUAAAAUGUGUCUAAUUACCUUUUAAAUGUUUUACAAGAUUCAGCGAUAUAUGAGUAUACUUCCAUGUCUACUUGAUUUCUAUACAGAAUAUGGAACCAGAUGUAGCGAAAUGUUUGCAUACCAUGUCUGGAUUCAACAAGCUAUUUACUGAUGGCUGAUUUUUAAGGAUGUCUUAUGAAGUUGUGAUUCUGCGAGGAAAAGCUCGUGCGUGGAAUUAUUCACGGUUCCAUUAUAUAUAUUCACUUUGGAAGGCAAAAAUUAUAUGUUGGCUGGUUGCCCGAGAAAUCAAAAAGGCUAAAUCUUGAGUUGUAUGGAGCAUGGUCAUUUGCUUGAAGUUUCCAAUGGACUGUAUAUACCAUUGAAUGAGAGGAAUUAUUCCAUGAGUGUGGACAAAUUGAGCUGAUCGAUUGAUUGAGAAAAUAUUGUGUGGAUGUUCUCAGAUCUCCUUGCUCCACUACUCCUUGGAUUAUUACCUUUGUCCAUAUAUUUUGGUUUAUCUGAGCUGAAGGUAACCUUCUUAAACUAUCCAUAAAAAUAGUUCAAAUUGUUAAUUAAUUGUUUGCUUAAUUGUGUUGUCUAUCUAUUCUUUUGCACAUAGAAGAUAUAACCUGCAAAUCUGCACAUGCUUUUGCCAAUGUAUCCAUCCUGAUAUUUCUUAUAAUGUGGAAGUUAUCAGAGCCCUUUUUUAAGCAUCCACUUUGAGUUCACCGGUGGCAGGUAGCUUGUACAAUACUGAAUUUUCAAGGUAACAAAAUCGGUUAUGCGUUGCAGCAAAAUCGAAUGUGGUAGAGAAAAUAUUCAGGCUUCGUAGCGAAACAAUGCCUCUGUUAGGAUAGUACACCCAGAUCCCCGAUGCAUUUGGUUUAUUAUGAUGUAUUGAUACUGAAGUUUGUACCAUAUCUUGAAUUAUGAUUUCAGCAGUGAUAAUAUACUCUAGAUAAAAGGAUGGACACAUAAGCUUGGGACAUGAUUGUGGCCGCUGUACUUCAAGAAGGUGCGGAGCUACGGUGAGCAGCAGGUUGCAUCGUCAUGGUGGUCGCCCUCGACCACGAUGGUGUGCACACCUUGGCACCAGGAAUUGGCUUGGGACGCCGUGGAGGGAGAGAGAAGGGGGGCGGGCAAUGUUGUCGAAGGGGCCGG